GACGAACGCUGGCGGCGUGCUUAACACAUGCAAGUCGAACGGAAAGGCCCUGCUUGCAGGGUACUCGAGUGGCGAACGGGUGAGUAACACGUGGGUGAUCUGCCCUGCACUUCGGGAUAAGCCUGGGAAACUGGGUCUAAUACCGGAUAGGAGCCAUUUUUAGUGUGAUGGUUGGAAAGUUUUUUCGGUGUAGGAUGAGCUCGCGGCCUAUCAGCUUGUUGGUGAGGUAAUGGCCUACCAAGGCGGCGACGGGUAGCCGGCCUGAGAGGGUGGACGGCCACAUUGGGACUGAGAUACGGCCCAGACUCCUACGGGAGGCAGCAGUGGGGAAUAUUGCACAAUGGGCGCAAGCCUGAUGCAGCGACGCCGCGUGGGGGAUGACGGCCUUCGGGUUGUAAACUCCUUUCGCUAGGGACGAAGCUUUUGUGACGGUACCUAGAUAAGAAGCACCGGCUAACUACGUG
rnacentral:rRNA from 1 species